UGCAGGUAGCAUUGCAUUUGUUUAUUUAUUAUAUUUUAUUGCUGUUGUGUUGGUUGGACAAAAAGUGGUUUCAUGGCAGGAAGACAUGUGGCAAUUCCCAUGUUUUCAAAAGGGAGAUAAUUCCAUAUUUAGCUUUCUACUUCCUGUAAUGACAUCUCUCAUUCUCAACUGCAGACAGUUGUUUCAGAGAGGUGCUUUGAGAAGUCAGGUUCGUGUAGGCUGAAGAGAUUCCUGUCUCUGAACUGUCCCAUAAAGGGCUUUGAAAACAGAUGAGAAUCUUAAAAAUCAUGAAACAAAGGGGCUUAAGAAGAUACACGAUCUCUAGUCUAUAGUAUAAGAACUGUAUUUUCCAUGACUGAAGCUUUUGAAGUCUCUUUCCCUGAUUCACAUGAUCCUUGGAAGCUGCAAACACAUGACUAUACUGUGUCCAAGACAUGAUGCCAUUGUGACCAAGAGUGGGUGCUUCUUGACUAGGUUUGGUCAAGUCAGGCUGUUACUGCAGUGCUUUGUUCAAUUGGCUCCAGUCUUCACAUGUUGAUUUGAAAUAAAUUAAUUUGUCACAAGUGCUGGUGAGUCUAAGAUAACCUGCACCAUGCUGGUACAUUGGCCCCUGACUGAGUGUGCAGAUGACCUGAAAUAAAUUCUAAAAGUCCUGAGAGCUUCCAUAUUUUUAUCAGUUAUGGUAAUCAUGACCAGUUGAGCAUUCAUUCUAACAUUUUAGGACUCUCAGUCAUUAAGUGUUAUUUCUUCUGGUAAAACCACUGAAAAACAAAGACCAAAUUGUGAAGAUCUGCACUGCCUACUGUGAGUAGUCUAUAUUUUGCCAUGGACAGGCAUGAAUGGCUAUUUAGGAUUCCAGAGAAGCCUGAGACAGAACCAUACUAUAUUUUCCUCCACUAGCUCCCAGCUAACAAGUAACUUUAGGAAAGAAAAUGUCCUUGAUGUAUCAGUUUUUUGAAAUCAGCCAUCUUGCUCAGGACAGCUAAUUUCUCAAAACUCAGACACUUCUAUGAAAUAAAAUGCAAGGUAUUAUUUUUAAAUGAAGAAACAUUAUUUUCAUUUGCAUUUCUGCAGACAUAAAAUGGCUAAAGAAUUUUUCCUGAGAUUUAGAGAAGUUGCCUUUGGCCACGAAGUGUGAAUAGAGAGUUGUAACCCAAAGGUAAUAUUUUCAGCAGAAUCUUAUCAAGCAGGUGGCUGAAAUGAAAUUUUUUUCCUCAUCUUAUCUGUUAUCAAUGGAUGAUAGGUUUUCCUUUCAUCUUCUGUAUGAUACCUCCCUCAACUGCAUCCGAGUCCAUGGUUAAAUUCCUGAUUGCUAAUUAAUAUAAGUUAUUAUUUACUGUUAUUAUUAAGUAAGGGCAAGGCUGUCUUUAUCUGUCUGUAGGGUCUGCCCUUAUAUCUGCUCUGUGUAUUGCUACUACAGUGGAACUGAAUGUGCCUCAGCCUCAUGCAGAUGCACUGUGUCAGAAAACAUCUGCUAACUGCUGAUUUUAUGCAUAUUACAGAGACUUUAUGUACUGUUAAAUGGACCACUUUUUCAUUUCAAACCAUAAUUUUCCAUGUGGCAUCAUUUGAUCUGUCCUCACUCCAACAUUUGGUUUGAUCAACUCAUUUCUUUCUACCCAAUAUGUUUGUUGUAACUUCCUCUAUGGCUGUGUGUGUCCUCUCUGUGAAUGGAAAUUACUACAGUGCUCCUGUCAUAAUAAUAUGGUGGUAGGGCAAAACGUGUAGUUUUAAUCAAUAUAUUUUAUUUCCAUUAGCUUCUUUCAUCACCGAGCUUUAGUCUAGACAGCUUAGGUCUGGUAAUGCCAACUGCUACCCAGCUACAUACAUGAUCAAAUGCAGGUUUUCAGGAGUACCCAGGACACUUAACCGGGUACUUGGUUUAGAGUUUAAAUGCAGUUGAUGAGGAGAAGCUUGUCCUCCACACAGAACUUCACUGUGCCUGUACACUGAACUUCUGAAUGGAAGAGACAGAGGGGCAACUUAUUUGGGUCACUGCCCUUUGGGAACACAUCCAUUUGAGCCCUGCUGUUACCCUCCUGGCAGUCGAGCUGCCGGGGCGUGGCAGUAGAGGGUGCAGGAGACAGAAGUGGGAAAGGGUUAAAAAGGGGGCCAUUCCCUCUGGAGAUGGGGCAUGCUUUGCUACAAAUUGUUUUGCUUUGGUUUUCUUGUGACAUUUAACUUUAUAUCAGCUACCUGUCAUUCCCCCGUGGUUAAACUUGAAAUUACUGUGGAGAAAGUUACUUUGUAGAUCCAGGCUGUUCAUGACUGUUUUGCAUGGGCUGUGGAAUGACGAGCUUUUGUCUGCUCAUUCCUAGGAGUUCUUGAAACAAUAGGUCUCUUCUGUACCUGUUGAAUCAUAACUUGGGAUUAGUACAGCCCUAAUUACAACAGCGAAGACAGUACUUAUUUGGUAACCUUUGGUCAUGGUGACAUUUCUAGAGGCUACAAGGAAAAAGAUAUAAAGUUUGAAUAACACGUACCAAUAAUUUCUGAUAUGUGUAAGUAGCUGGAGGAGGGGCACAUACUGCUGGGGAAAUAUUUUUGCCAGAUAAAACAUCACAGUCUUUCUUGGCAAGCAUAGAACUCCACUGGUACAUUAAAAAAUAAUAACAGCCUCCCCCCUAAUAGAUUUUGCAUAUUUAGUGAUUCUGACAAAUUUGAAUAAAUGUGAUUUAUUGUUAUUAAUAAUAAUGCAUAUUUAGAUAGCUCUUGUAAUCUUCAAAGCACUUUAUAAAUACGAGUUUGUUAACUAGUCCUUGCAACAGCCUUGUGAGGUGCAGAAUUAUCCAAAUAUUAGAGGUAUAUGAUGGUGCACCAAUUUCCAGCAGUGCACCAAUUUCCAGCAACUUUUUAACAAUGCAUUGAAGUCUGAUAUAUGACCUGUAUCCUUAUAUUUCUGGAAUAUCACACAGUGACAUAUAUGUAUCUAAAAUAAGUGAUUCUUUCUAUGAAAACAAAGUAGACAUAUCACUUAUGUGUGUAUAAUUCUCUUCCAAUUCAUUUUCUCAAAAAUUAUAAUUUAGUUGUGCUUGAAGUAACAGUCAGGAAAGCCAGCAGUGAUGUUGGUGGGGAUACUGAGGUGCAAGACACUAAGCUCAUUUUUGUGGGUGAGGGAAAAAGGCUAGUUCCUAUCUCAGGUAUUUUGCAGUCCAAAAAUAUGAUAAGAGACAACAGAUGGAUACAACAAAGAGACAAGAGACAUCACGAGGUUACAGUAAGAGGAUUACAAUUACUAUAAGAAGUGGUGGUCAUAGCACACCAGCUGUUUAACCAUUCUCAGAUAAUUUUUUAGUCAUUGCAACAGUGAGAGUAAGAGUAUUAUUUGAAGGAAGAUGACAAAAUGACUAGGCAGACUUUUUUAAUGUUUCCACAUGCAGAUGUAAAGACAUAUGGAAAAUACCUUCUUAAGAAAAUGGGAUUUCACCUUUGGUAAAAACAAGGUGAGAGUUAAGGAUUCUGAUUUACUAUAUGAAAUCAUGAUGGAUGAGACAGGGAUAAGAGAUAAACUGAAGUGAAUUUGGGUCUGAAGUGAAAUGCAAGGUAAAGGCAUGCAGUGACAGGGAAGUGAGGUGACAAGAGUGAAGUGCCAACACAGAAGAUGACAGGUGUGUUUUGAUAGAGCUGUUUGGUAGAAGCUGUUGCAGUUCUGAGGCUGUUUCAAACUCUGUAAUGAAAGCCUUGUGUUUCUUGACUGUGCUACAGGAGGUUGUGAGGACAGUCUUCCUACACUAACUUUCUGUGGCCUCCAUGACCCGGACACCAGUACUGUGCUUUGCAGCUAUUUCAGUCCUGUGCAAGAGUGGCUUGCACUUUUGCUUGUUGUUCAGCUCAAACACUCCCUGUGUUUGCAUAUGUGCCUUAAGACUCAGUUGAAACACAGGGAAGGAGUGAAGAUUUACAUACCACAUUAAUCUCUGAUCAAUGUGGUCUCCAUUCUUCACUGCUCAUGGUAAAGCCCUCUCCACGCAUCACUCCCGAGGCUACAGAUUCUUUACCAUAUUGCCAUACCAGCCCUUUCAGACAGCCUGGUAUGAUAGUUGCACAUAUCCCCACUGCAUACCAAGGUGUAAUGUAAACAUAUACAAACCAUUUUAAACAGGAAACAGCGUUGUUGUGGUAGCACUGAGGUCUGUGCAAAUUAAUCUGUCCUUUGAAAAAGGCAGUAACCCUAAUUUGCGUAUUAUUUCCAGUGUAAGCAUUUGGGUUUUGAUCAAGCAAUUAAUGUACUUGAUGGGAGUCUUUCGCAUUGCCUGCAGUGGGCUUUGGAUUGGAACCAUAAUCCGGAUGUCUCACAUGCAUAUACAUCCUUAAUUAAAAUUUUCUAAAUUACUGUUACAUAAUGAGUAUCCCAAACCUCCUGUGAAGCAUUUCCAGUUAAGCCAGUGAAAAAAAAUGCACUCGGUGUCUUGCCAUCACAGUUAACAUGAAGUAGAGCAAUUCUCUGUACUGAGUAUUAAGACAGGUGAAUUAUUGGUUCACUGAGAACACUAAGUGAAUGUCCUGACUUUUGCAUGCUUGCAAUUUAUAAACAAAGCUGCUUUACUGUAAUUUUGCUGCGUUACACACAUACAUAUAUAUAUAAAUAUGCACACUCUCAGAAAGUUAUGAUCAGCUUUAAAAACAGGCUUAGAAUGAAAAUAAUAAAUCAACCUUAAAUGCAGCAACUGCUUCUACUAUAACUAUAUUCAUUCAGUUUGCCAGGCAUAUUUUAAAAAAUAUAAUAGAUUGCUACACCUUUUUACCACGAAGAGAUGCAUCCUGUGGCAGCUGUCCAUCAUUAGGCACAGAAUCAUUUUAGACUUACCUAUAUGAAAAAACUGAAGCAGACCUCAAUCAUACCCCCUCAGUAGUGCAGUGAAAGCAGUCUUUCAAAUUUUAACUCUUUUUUUUUUUUUUUUUUUUAGCAGGAAAUACCAGUCUGGUCUCAUAGAGAGUGCUCUGACUUGGAUUCAUAUGACCUGCUUUCUAUUCCUGGCUCUGGCUCUGAGUGACCUUAUGAAAGUUAUUUUUAUCUACUAUUGUUUUUAAAUGUGCAGAAAGAGGUUUCCUAGCAGAGUGGGCCAAACAUAUCCCACCUCAAAAACUUAUCCAUGAAGAAGCUACACACCUGUACACGUACAAAUGCCAGUCAAGUGUUUGCCUCAAAUAAGCUGUUCUGCCUUUCUCCCUUGAAGUAUGGAAGAAUCCAGAGCUGUCUAUAAAUCACCUACCCAGUGCCCUGCCAAGCUUCUACAGUGGCAGGAAAGGUAGCAAUAAAACAAGAAGUUGGAACUGAGUUCUUGAUAUUAAGAAAAGAUCUGAUUACUGUCUGAGACUAACUCUGGGCUUGGGCUGCCUCCACCUCUUCUGCUGCAGUAGUAAUGCAUGCUCCCUUGAGAGGACAGAUUUAGUCACUGAGCGCAGCCUCUUCUUCAGAAGAAGAAAAUGUAAAGAGACAGCAGUUUCUAGCAAUAAAAUAAAAACUAAACCAACAUAAAA